rnacentral:lncRNA from 1 species
UUGGGUGUUGUUGACACUGCAGGCUGUUCCUAGGUGGUGAGAGCUGAGCGCCCAUCAUUUCCCCGCUGCCUGGAGACAGCUGGGUAGCGUGCUUUGGGAAUCCUGAGGACAGAUGGAUCCCGUGCCAUCACGGGAUGGGAAUUACUGUGGGGCUGGGGUUGGUGCUUCAGCUUCCAGCAGCCAUUCUCCCCUUCAGAUUCUCAGCUCUCCUCUCUUUCUUCUCUGUUGGGGUGGGCCGGGGGGUGCUCUUUUGAGGAAGAAAGCAGGGCUUCUUUCAGUAUUGUCUCUCUGCUUCUUGGCUCCUCUCCUCUCUCAUCAGGGCAGAGAUGAACAGCCUGGCCUCUUGCUAGGCAGCCCUGUGUUGUCUGAGUGGUGCAAGGCUGACAUUUCUUCUUGCCCUGCCAGCUCUGUGAUAAGAGCUGGGAGAUGAAUAUCGCAGCAAAGGUGACUGCUCUCAGGAGGCUGACGAUUCUAGCACACAAAAUAAACAAGCGAAUAAGCAAUCCAUCUGAUUCCAAAGAGUGGGCUAACGUGGGGUCAUAUGAUGAAAAGGGGCUGAGAAUGGGAGAGGGAUCAUUUUGAUCAAGCAGUUACUGGAGAUUCCAUUAAAGGGGGCAUUAGAGUGACGAUCUUCAUGAAAGAGCUAUGCAAAGAUCCAAAAAGCCACAGAAAGCUACCAGCCAUGUUGCUGAUCCAAGCCCUGUAAAGUGAGAGGGUUUAUGUUUAAAUCUGUGGAAUCUUUACAUUGCAGGCAUUUUAUUAAAUUGCUUCUGUUUUA